rnacentral:rRNA from 1 species
GACGAACGCUGGCGGCGUGCUUAACACAUGCAAGUCGAACGAAGAGCGACGGAAGCUUGCUUCUAUCAAUCUUAGUGGCGAACGGGUGAGUAACGCGUAAUCAACCUGCCCUUCAGAGGUGGACAACAGUUGGAAACGACUGCUAAUACCGCAUACGAUCUAACCUCGGCAUCGAGGAUAGAUGAAAGGUGGCCUCUACACGUAAGCUAUCACUGAAGGUGGAGAUUGCGGCUGAUUAGCUAGUUGGGGGGGGAACGGCCGACCAAGGCGAUGAACAGGAGCCGGUCUGAGAGGAUGAACCGCCAAAUUGGGACUGAGAAACGGCCCAGAAUCCUACGGGAAGCAGCCGUGGGGAAUCUUCCGCAAUGGACGGAAGUCUGGCGGGGCAACGCCGGGGGGGGGAUGACGGGCUUCGGGUUGUAAAGCUCUGUUAAUCGGGACGAAAGGCCUUCUUGCGAAUAGGGAGAAGGAUUGACGGUACCGGAAUAGAAAGCCACGGCUAACUACGUG